UGAAUGUCCAGUUGUCCACCCUCCUCCUUCCUCCACCACCGCCUUCUCUACCUUCACCUCCUCCUACAACCUGUGCUACAGCAGCAAGGUCCUACCGCCCCCCAGCCAUCACCGGCCACACUCUUCUCCGAUCUGAACCUGCCGCGCUCCGUGGAGGACCAGAAUCACCAUGACCCCCACCGGUGCUAGAUCCAGCUGCCUCCACCCUCAUCCUCCUGAUUUGAGAUCCGUGGAGGGGUUGAGAUCCUGGCUGCCACCCACCACUCCCUCUCAAAUCUCUAUAGGACGGUGGCAAGCCCGCUGGUCUACGGGGAGGGUCGGCCUUGACUUGCCUACGGGGAGGGUCGGCCUUGACUUGCAGUAGGAGGAGGAGCUCCCAGGCCGCCUUCACCCCCCUUGCCCCAUCGCCGCCACCACCAGGAGGCCGACCACCAUGGAGUUCUGUGUAAAUUUGGUUGAAAUUUACGUAGUUUGAGCUUCUGUAUUCCUCUGAUUUUUCUUAUGUUCGAAGAAGCGGCCAAGGCUGGACCCGGUGAUGGGGCGACCUGCCAGCGGUGGUAGUAGGGGCAGGCCGCGAGCGAGACCUGUGCCACGUCCGGGGCGCGGUGAGAAGCUCCGCCGGAAGACUCGACAGAUGGGGGUACGUGCUGAAAAGGAAAUACAUUCUCGAAAAAGUACAUGUGCCUCGAGGUAUACACGCGAUGGGAUAUAGGGUCAUAGCAUAGACAACCUCUGAUUAUCAAAAAAUAAAUAGACAACCUCUGAUGUUGGAAGGGUAGCCCAGAAAAAUGCAAGCGAGCGAACGGUGUGUGAGCUUGUGUGGUGUGCUCGAUAUAGUUGAUGUUUCCUCCCUUGGAUUAUUUGAUUGCUCAGACCGGACCGAGGACGACAAGCAAUCGGUUGUUUUUUCC